rnacentral:rRNA from 1 species
UGGGGGGAACCCUGAUGCAGCGACGCCGCGUGAGUGAAGAAGUAUUUCGGUAUGUAAAGCUCUAUCAGCAGGGAAGAAAAUGACGGUACCUGACUAAGAAGCCCCGGCUAACUACGUGCCAGCAGCCGCGGUAAUACGUAGGGGGCAAGCGUUAUCCGGAUUUACUGGGUGUAAAGGGAGCGCAGACGGCUGUGCAAGUCUGGAGUGAAAGGCGGGGGCCCAACCCCCGGACUGCUCUGGAAACUGUAAAGCUGGAGUGCAGGAGAGGUAAGCGGAAUUCCUAGUGUAGCGGUGAAAUGCGUAGAUAUUAGGAGGAACACCAGUGGCGAAGGCGGCUUACUGGACUGCAACUGACGUUGAGGCUCGAAAGCGUGGGGAGCAAACAGGAUUAGAUACCCUGGUAGUCCACGCCGUAAACGAUGAUUACUAGGUGUCGGGGGGUAAGGCCCGCCG